AGAGUUUGAUCCUGGCUCAGGACGAACGCUGGCGGCGUGCCUAACACAUGCAAGUCGAACGGGACCGGGGGCAACUCCGGUUCAGUGGCGGACGGGUGCGUAACACGUGAGGAACAUGACCUUCGGCGGGGGAUAGCCGGCCCAACGGCCGGGUAAUACCGCGUACGACCUUUCGGGGACAUCCCUGGAUGGUGAAAGCAGCAAUGCGCCGAUCGAGGAUGAGCCCGCGGCGGAUUAGCUUGUUGGUGAGGUAACGGCUCACCAAGGCGACGAUCCGUAGCUGGUCUGAGAGGACGAUCAGCCACACUGGGACUGAGACACGGCCCAGACUCCUACGGGAGGCAGCAGUGGGGAAUCUUGCGCAAUGGGCGAAAGCCUGACGCAGCGACGCCGCGUGGGGGAAGAAGGCCUUCGGGUUGUAAACCUCUUUCAGCAGGGACGAAGCCACUCGGGUGAAUAGCCCAGAGGGUGACGGUACCUGCAGAAGAAGCCCCGGCUAACUACGUGCCAGCAGCCGCGGUAAUACGUAGGGGGCAAGCGUUGUCCGGAUUUAUUGGGCGUAAAGAGCGUGUAGGCGGCCGCACAGGUCCGUUGUGAAAACUGGAGGCUUAACCUUCAGACGUCGAUGGAAACCGUGCGGCUAGAGUCCGGAAGAGGAGAAUGGAAUUCCUGGUGUAGCGGUGAAAUGCGCAGAUAUCAGGAAGAACACCCGUGGCUAAGGCGGUUCUCUAGUACGGUACUGACGCUGAGACGCGAAAGCGUGGGGAGCGAACAGGAUUAGAUACCCCCGUAGUCC
rnacentral:rRNA from 1 species